rnacentral:rRNA from 1 species
AGAUUGAACGCUGGCGGCAGGCCUAACACAUGCAAGUCGAGCGGUAGAGAGGUGCUUGCAUCUCUUGAGAACGGCGGACGGGUGAGUAAUGCCUAGGAAUCUGCCUAGUGGUGGGGGGAUAACGUUCGGAAACGGACGCUAAUACCGCAUACGUCCUACGGGAGAAAGCGGGGGACCUUCGGGCCUCGCGCCAUUAGAUGAGCCUAGGUCGGAUUAGCUAGUUGGUGAGGUAAUGGCUCACCAAGGCGACGAUCCGUAACUGGUCUGAGAGGAUGAUCAGUCACACUGGAACUGAGACACGGUCCAGACUCCUACGGGAGGCAGCAGUGGGGAAUAUUGGACAAUGGGACGAAAGCCUGAUCCAGCCAUGCCGCGUGUGUGAAGAGGUCUUCGGAUUGUAAAGCACGUUUAAGUGGAGGAGGUUGUAACUUAAUCGUUGCUAACUUUGACGUUACGACAGAAUAAGCACCGGCUAACUUCGUGCAGCAGCCG